CCUACGGUGGGCUGUAGUCGAGAAUCAUUCACAAUGGGGGAAACCCUGAUGGUGCGACGCCGCGUGGGGGAAUGAAGGUCUUCGGAUUGUAAACCCCUGUCAUGUGGGAGCAAAUUAAAAAGAUAGUACCACAAGAGGAAGAGACGGCUAACUCUGUGCCAGCAGCCGCGGUAAUACAGAGGUCUCAAGCGUUGUUCGGAAUCACUGGGCGUAAAGCGUGCGUAGGCUGUUUCGUAAGUCGUGUGUGAAAGGCGCGGACUCAACCCGCGGACGGCACAUGAUACUGCGAGACUAGAGUAAUGGAGGGGGAACCGGAAUUCUCGGUGUAGCAGUGAAAUGAGUAGAUAUCGAGAGGAACACUCGUGGCGAAGGCGGGUUCCUGGACAUUAACUGACGCUGAGGCACGAAGGCCAGGGGAGCGAAAGGGAUUAGAUACCCUAGUAGUC
rnacentral:rRNA from 1 species